rnacentral:rRNA from 1 species
GACGAACGCUGGCGGCGUGCUUAACACAUGCAAGUCGAACGGAAAGGCCCUGCUUUUGUGGGGUGCUCGAGUGGCGAACGGGUGAGUAACACGUGAGUAACCUGCCCUUGACUUUGGGAUAACUUCAGGAAACUGGGGCUAUUACCGGCUAGGAGCUCCUGCUGCUUGGUGGGGGUUGGAUAGUUUCGGCGGUUGGGGAUGGACUCGCGGCUUAUCAGCUUGUUGGUUGGGUAGUGGCUUACCAAGGCUUUGACGGGUAGCCGGCCUGAGAGGGUGACCGGCCACAUUGGGACUGAGAUACGGCCCAGACUCCUACGGGAGGCAGCAGUGGGGAAUAUUGCACAAGGGGCGGAAGCCUGAUGCAGCAACGCCGCGUGCGGGAUGACGGCAUGCGGGUUGUAAACCGCUGUCGCCUGUGACGAAGCGUGAGUGACGGUAAUGGGUAAAGAAGCACCGGCUAACUACGUG